CAAGUUGAAGCUUAAUUAAGCGUUUUAUUUACAUUAAGGAGUGUGGUUGUUGAAUCAACUUAACUUGA
rnacentral:tRNA from 1 species